rnacentral:rRNA from 1 species
AUUGAACGCUGGCGGCAUGCCUUACACAUGCAAGUCGAACGGCAGCACGGGAGCAAUCCUGGUGGCGAGUGGCGAACGGGUGAGUAAAGUAUCGGAACGUGCCCAGUCGUGGGGGAUAACGUAGCGAAAGUUACGCUAAUACCGCAUACGAUCUAUGGAUGAAAGCGGGGGAUCGCAAGACCUCGCGCGAUUGGAGCGGCCGAUAUCAGAUUAGGUAGUUGGUGGGGGAAAGGCUCACCAAGCCGACGAUCUGUAGCUGGUCUGAGAGGACGCCCAGCCACACUGGGACUGAGACACGGCCCAGACUCCUACGGGAGGCAGCAGUGGGGAAUUUUGGACAAUGGGCGAAAGCCUGAUCCAGCCAUGCCGCGUGCAGGAUGAAGGCCUUCGGGUUGUAAACUGCUUUUGUACGGAACGAAAAGGUUUGGCCUAAUAAGCUGAGCUCAUGACGGUACCGUAAGAAUAAGCACCGGCUAACUACGUGCCAGCAGCCGCCGUAA